CUGACCUCAAAUCAGGUAGGACUACCCGCUGAACUUAAGCAUAUCAAUAAGCGGAGGAAAAGAAACUAACAAGGAUUCCCCUAGUAACUGCGAGUGAAGCGGGAAAAGCUCAAAUUUGUAAUCUGGCAGUUCUUGGGACUGUCCGAGUUGUAAUCUAGAGAAGUGCUACCUGUGCUGGACCGUGUACAAGUCUCCUGGAAUGGAGCAUCACAGAGGGUGAGAAUCCCGUCUUUGACAUGGACUGCCUGUACGAUAUGGUGCGCUCUCGAAGAGUCGAGUUGUUUGGGAAUGCAGCUCAAAAUGGGUGGUAAAUGCCAUCUAAAGCUAAAUAUUGGCGAGAGACCGAUAGCGAACAAGUACCGUGAGGGAAAGAUGAAAAGAACUUUGGAAAGAGAGUUAAACAGUACGUGAAAUUGCUGAAAGGGAAACGCUUGAAGUCAGUCACGUCGGCUAGAAAUCAACCUUGCUUCUGCUUGGUGUACUUUCUGGUUGAUGGGUCAGCAUCAAUUUUGACCAUUGGAUAAAGUCAUUGGGAAUGUGGCAUCUCAGGAUGUGUUAUAGCCCGUUGUCGCAUACUGUGGUUGGGAUUGAGGUACUCAGCACGCCGCAAGGCCGGGUUUCGACCACGUUCGUGCUUAGGAUGCUGGCAUAAUGGCUUUAAUCGACCCGUC
rnacentral:rRNA from 1 species